rnacentral:rRNA from 1 species
UACGUAGGGACCAAGCGUUGUUCGGAUUUACUGGGCGUAAAGGGCGCGUAGGCGGCAAUUCAAGUCAUCUGUGAAAUCUCCGGGCUUAACUCGGAACGGUCAGAUGAUACUGCUUUGCUAGAGUGCAGAAGGGGCAAUCGGAAUUCUCGGUGUAGCGGUGAAAUGCGUAGAUAUCGAGAGGAACACCAGAGGUGAAGACGGGUUGCUGGGCUGACACUGACACUGAGGCGCGAAAGCCAGGGGAGCAAACGGG